ensembl:processed_transcript
AUUAAAGACCAUCAGAGCUUGUAUUGAUUUGUGUCUUUACUUUUCUGCAGAUGGACGGCGCUGAUUGGCUGGUCGAGCAGGACGUGAAAAAUUGCUACUGCUGUGGACAGGAGACGACUCACGUUGGACCUGGAAGGGAACAAGUUUUAAUGAAACGCUCUUCCCCGGACUCAAACCCUGAUCAUCAUCGGUGUCGUGGUCAGCUCCUCUCUGCGUCUCAAGUCCGGCAACGUAUACGAUGAGCUAACUGGAUAAACUGGUUGCAGCGGGAAAGCCAUCCACAUGAAGGUUUUGGGACUUCCAGCCGGUCUAUAAACCCUUGGAGCUCCUUCCUGAAGGUCUUCAUUUGAGAGUUGAUGCGGAAGAGUAGCUCAUGCUCUCUGAUCCGACCACCAUCAUCCUCAUCUUCCAUACGACCAAAAAGAUCGCCGUUAGCCACAAAGACCCGAGCCUCUGCGAUGAUGUUACUAGUGUCGGCUAUAAGACGGUCAAUGGUCCGUCCCAAUCGCUCUGCCUCAGCACGGAUGUCAAUCAUCUGUUGCCUGUCCCGUAUGGAGCGUGAGAGGAGGCGGGCAGAUUCAGGAGAAUAAAGCGAACGAGUUGGCGUGAGGCACCGAGCAUUGCGGACCUCCUCCGAGUCACUUUCUCCUCCAACUGGACCCUCGCGUUUUCGAUGGGGAGGGAGGCGAGAUGAGGAAGAGUCAUCAUCACUUCCUCUACGUCCUCCGAUUGCAGGACCACCAUCACUUUCUGCAUCACUGUCACGUGGCGUCACGGCUAGAUGAGAUGCUAGGUCAUAUCGUUGCAUGUUAGAAAGCAGCACACGGUUCUCAUAUUGUAGUUGCAUCACUUUCCCGCUCAGUUCAUUGAUCUGCUUCCUUGCCGCCUUCAGCUCCUCCUGCAAGGCCUCAGAUUUGGAGCUGUCUCCUCCACCAUUAUUGGAACCUGUUGCAUUACUACCUGAAGCAUGCCUUGUACCCUCUUUAAAGCGCAAUUUAUUCAGCUCACUUGUCACUCUCUUAUUCUGUUCCUCUACAUCCGCGAGGUUCCUCCUCAGAAGUUCGGCCUCAUCCUCCACCAACUGCAGUUGUUGCCUCAGCUCCGACAGCUCUGAACCCUGUUCGCGCCCUAUUCCUCCUUCCGCACCGGACAAGCCCCCAUUAGAGGAUUCAUCCCCACGAAGAUCAUCCAAUUCUGCUCUCAGACCACGGUUCUCGACCUCCAGUUCCACAAUUUUUCGUCCAAGGAUGUUGGCCUCUUCUUCCACCAGCCGCAAGCGGAGUUUCAGUUCUGAUUCCCUUGUAGUGGGUGGACCACCAGCUUCCCCCUUUGGAUGAGGGCUAUCCAAAUCCCCAUAGAAGGAUCGAUACUUCUGAAGUUCUUGCUCCAGGCGGUCCUUUUCCUUGUCGAUUUUUGCCAUUUUCUUUCUCAUUAAGGUAGCCUCCUCUUUAAUGAAGGCCAGCUGGCAUUUCAGGUCCUCACUGUCCUCCUGUUGUGUUGAAGGUAUGUGGAUGUUAGAUUCAGAGACAUUUAAUAGACAUUUAAAAGGUCAAUAUUUAUGCACAGAAACCUGUAACGAAUACCAUGAAAGUCAUUGGUUACAGGUUUCCAUUAUUCUUUGCAACAGGUUUCAAACAAGGGUGAGUGAAUUGUUAUUUUUGGGUGAAUACAAUUUUUGUUGGUUGAAAUUUUGUUUUAAUACUUUAUAUAUCUUUCCAAAUAAUGGCAUAACCUUGAAACUUCAUCACUUUUUAAUCGCUUAAAACAAACGACCACAUACUGAUCAACGUUA